rnacentral:rRNA from 1 species
GUGCCAGCCGCCGCGGUAAUACGUAGGUGGCGAGCGUUGUCCGGAUUUACUGGGUGUAAAGGGCGUGUAGGCGGGAUUGCAAGUCAGAUGUGAAAUUCCAGAGCUUAACUCUGGAGCUGCAUCUGAAACUGUGAUUCUUGAGUGCUGGAGAGGAUAGUGGAAUUCCUAGUGUAGCGGUGAAAUGCGUAGAUAUUAGGAGGAACACCAGUGGCGAAGGCGGCUAUCUGGACAGUAACUGACGCUGAGGCGCGAAAGCGUGGGGAGCAAACAGGAUUAGAUACCCUGGUAGUCCACGCUGUAAACGAUGGAUACUAGGUGUAGGAGGUAUCGACCCCUUCUGUGCCGGAGUUAACACAAUAAGUAUCCCACCUGGGGAGUACGGCCGCAAGGUUGAA